AACCAUGGGCAGGGCCAGAGUGGGCAGGUGCUCUGAGAGGUCGUGCUGAGCAUAUACACUCGGUCAAGCAGGCAGCUGAGGAGAUCUCUACAAAGAAGUCCCAGGAGUCAUCCUGGCCAGGACAUACACUCCUGGAAGAUGAUCGUCCUUCCCUUCUUCCCACCUCCUAGGCAGACCCUGAGAAACCCACAAUACUCCCAGGGAGCUGUCUUCUUUGCUCACACCAUGGAGAACUCAUCCGAUGGCCCAAGAGGCACCAGGGAGGAUGCUCCUCCUAGAAGGAUCUGGAAGGGCCGGUUCCAGAGAGCCGUGGCUCCUGUGUCCAAGUUCUUCGGGAGAGGGCGCUGAACAGGCCGAGGCUGAGUCCACGGGAGUUGCAGACACCCAGCCAUGACAGUGAGCAAGGCCUUCUGCUGCCCAGGCCCCUGCUCUCCCAGGCAUCUUGUUCAAUGAGGUUGAAAUAAAUGCCGGCGUGCCUUACA